AUGGACAGAAGAGAGGAUAAUUGCGUGUAUGCUCAUAGAAGAAGGCUGAUUAGUGUCCUUCCUCAAGAAAUGACACAAGUUUUAAGUCCAACAUCAGCAAUGAGACAAGGCCUGGGUCUUCUCCAUUUCAGAGUCAUUGAGGGAAGAGUCAUCCAGAAGCCCCAUGUCUGGCUGAGUGGGACAGUGCUGAAAAGGAGUCCCCUGGGAACCCUUCACAUACUGCGUUCUGGAAGUCUUGAAAAGGUGAAGAACAAGUACUGUGGGGAUUUAACCAGACCUGAGAUGUGA
rnacentral:lncRNA from 7 species